UACGUAGGGUGCAAGCGUUAAUCGGAAUUACUGGGCGUAAAGCGUGCGCAGGCGGUUUUGUAAGUCUGUUGUGAAAUCCCCGGGCUUAACCUGGGAAUGGCGAUGGAGACUGCAAGGCUAGAGUUUGGCAGAGGGGGGUAGAAUUCCACGUGUAGCAGUGAAAUGCGUAGAGAUGUGGAGGAACACCGAUGGCGAAGGCAGCCCCCUGGGUCAAAACUGACGCUCAUGCACGAAAGCGUGGGGAGCAAACAGG
rnacentral:rRNA from 1 species